rnacentral:lncRNA from 1 species
CGCUUGUUCGAUAAAACUGUUCUCCAUCUUUUCUAGAGUCGUGGAGAGGAUUUUGUGGAAGGGCAAGAGAUUUUAACUUUUUCCUGAUAGUAUCUUGGUCAUGUUUGAUCAGAAGACAGGAAGAAAGAAGGAGGGCCAGGAUAUCAUUGAUAAGAAAGCAAUAGUCGUUCAUAAGAAUGGCUUACCAACUGUGUCUGUGCAGUUGUGGGUUCUACCUUUUGCCCGACUGGGUGGAAACUUGGUUUAUCAAGAAAAGGAUGGAUGGGCAGCCUUUCCCAAGGCAGCAACCAUUGGGAGAGGACAAGACACACACACCACGUGAGAACACAGGGAGAAGACGUCCGUCUGCAAGCCCAGGACAGAGGCCUCGGAAGAAACCAACCCUGCCAACACCUUGAUCUUGGACUUCCAGCCUCCAGAACUACGAAAAAAUAAAUUUCUGUUGUUUAAGGCA